rnacentral:lncRNA from 10 species
AUGUAGAGUCUUCCAGCAACAGGAACAAAUGCAGCACUCCUGAAAUGGCCCUAUUUCCUAAAGAGACCAACAAGCCACUCAGUGGCAACUUGACAACAUUUGGGCUCCUUUUAUUCUGGAAGGGCCAACAGUUUCCCCUCAGUGGGAUAGUCUUAUUCCAAAUAUGAGUUUGCCUUUCCCACCCACAGAGCCUCAGCCAGCAUCAAUAUCCAGACGUUUAUGCAGUGCAUGAUCCACAAGCAUGUAAACCUAUGUAACAUAGCAUCCAAACAGGGGCCACAACUCACAGCAAAGUGGGUGCAGAAGUGAGCCCAUGGUCAUGUGAUUCCCAGAUGACAUCACAGAUGCUCCAUCAAGAGGCAACCAACCCACAAUAGAACAUUGCAGUGGCCUAUCGAAGGCACAGCUGGAGUACCAGUUUACAGGCAAUAGUCUACAAAAAGGAGGUGCUAUCCUCCAGAAUGCAGAAUAAAUAAAUCAGAGAUCUCCAUAGAGUGCUAUGCUCCUAAUAAGAAUACAUGGGUCAAGGAACCAGGGGAAAGAAGCAGGAAUCAUCAUUCUUACCAUUAUUCUCAAUGGCCCUCUGGGGAAAUGCAUGUUUCCUGUCGCCUUAACUCUGGGCUCUGCAGGUUUAGAAGUCCUUGUCUUCAAAGGAGGCACACUCUUGCCAGGGGACAGAGCAAGAGUUUCAUUGAACUACGGGUGUCUCCUGGACAUUUUGGACUCCUUGUGUACAAGAUUAACAGGAAGAGGUAGGCUGGGCACAGCUGCUCAUGCCCAUUAAUCCCAGCACUUUGGAAGACCGAGGUGGGAGGAUCACUUGAGGUCAAGAGUUCAAGACCAGUCUGGGCAACAUAGCAAAACCUGUCUCUCCAAAAAAGAAAAAAAAAUAAAGGAAGAGAGGAAUAUUGGGUAGGUAAGUAGAGCUAGAUCAUUAUUCUAAGUACCAACAUGAAAUUUCUAUAGUUUUAAAAAGUGGGAG